ensembl:lncRNA
CGGGGGGGCGAUCCGCUCUCUACUUCCUGGAAGCACGGGGGGGCGAUCCGCUCUCUACUUCCUGGAAGCACGGCGGUCGAUCCGCUCUCUACUUCCCGGAAGCACGGGGGGGCGAUCCGCUCUCUACUUUCCGGAAGCACGGGGGGGCGAUCCGCUCUCUACUUCCCGGAAGCACGGGGGGGGCGAUCCGCUCUCUACUUCCCGGAAGCACGGGGGGUCGAUCCGCUCUCUACUUCCCGGAAGCACGGGGGGGCGAUCCGCUCUCGACUUCCUGGAAGCACGGGGGGUCGAUCCGCUCUCGACUUCCCGGAGGGUCGAUCUGGACGCCUAAAGGUGACCUUGUAGGUCAACAUUGGUGAUACAGACGAAAUGAAAAGCGCCCGUUGUUGAGCAUUGAGACACUACGGAGACACAGCAUGUGGACAGACUGAGAGCUGCUGACUCUUUACUGAUUGACUUCUCUUCUCUGUUCGAUUUUGCAGCUUCGUCUCUCUGGACUGACACGCUUCAUGACCGACUGCGUUGGUGAAAUACUGGCUGGUGAUGUGACGGGUUUCUGUGUUCUGAUUGGACAGCGUUGCCUCGUUUUAUUUAUUUAGAGGAGAGACUUGUUUAUGAUCAGACAGUUUACAGUUUCAGUUUAAAUCACAGACACAGAAACAAGCAGCUGUUUUUAUUAAAACACUCAAAGUUCAAAAUCUAAAAAUGAAACCAUCUUUGUUUUAUAAUUUAUUUCACUAAUUUGAAUUUAUUGAAAUUUGAAAAUUUUCUUUUUAGCAAUGGUGACUCGAUGUUUACAAGCUCUAAUCUCUUUACCUCAACAGAAGAAUACCUGCAGAUGUUCAGGGUUUAAAUAACCCAACAUCAGACCCGUCUCAACCCACUAAUUCAUUAUAAUGAUUUCUGCUCCGCCUAAAAACGCAGCUAAAUAAUUGUAUUCGUAUUGACCAUUGCAGCGGCUUCAUUCUGUGACUCGGAGGUCUUCACAGAAUAACUGGAUGGAACCGGACUGAGGAGCCUUCAGCGACUCUCUUGAGCUUCUAGUUUUCUUUUUAAAACCAAAGAUUUCAAGCUUGUGUGAGGUGACGGUUUGAGGUGUUGGAAUCUGAUCCAUUUUUGCAUGAAUCUCUGCCAUUAACUUAUAAAAUGCUCCCCUACCUGCUCUCGCACUGAUAAUCGUUAAGUAGUAUAAUCUCUAAUCAGUAUAUUGAUCGUAUUAUUGCACCCGAUCCAUUUGAAUUCAAAGCUGAGACCAGACGUCUGCAGCAGUAUUGACUUAUGUCUCUAAUUUGUUACAUUUUAGUUCAGUGACGUCGUUCCUCCACAGAUUAAAUAUUUAUAGAGGCGGGAAAAUGGUUCUUUUUGAUUAAUCAAUUCAUUGUUCUAUAAAAUGUACCGCCGUAGUUUCACAGUUUGACUCUUUUCAGAUAUUUAGUUCCCCCCCAAAAAAGAAGCCAAAUUUCUCAUUUCCGAAGAGAUGUUUUACUUGAUAGAUCACAUUAUUAUUAUUAUUGUGGUCAUUGUUAAUAAUCAAAUUAUUUUGUAUACACAGGAAACUCAUGUUCAUAACAUACUAAAGAGCUUAUUCAGGUCUGAUCUAAAACUCAACUGUUCGUAUGAACGUUUGAGUUGAACUAAGAACUGGCAGCCAUAAGAAAUAAAUAUUCCUCUUAAUAGGCAUUCAAAUUGAAACGCGUCGGAAAGAAAGACGUUCUGCAACAUGUACCCAGCGGUAUUUUGAUGAAUUGAAUAUUCAUGUUCUACAUCACAUUGUUUUUUCUGGGCUUGAUUUUCUUGCAGUGUUACCAUUUUAAACUCGACCUUCCCUAUUAUCACAGCCGCAUUGAAAGUUGUCUAAAUGCUUUUAUUGUGAAGCUGCAUCGGUAGGAAAUAUUUUAUUUUGUCAAUACGUUCCCUCCUCCAGCAACAGAUACAGCUGUUUUAUUAACAUUUAAUUGUCUGAGAUUGUGGCCUGAAACUUAAACAUUUUAUUUUCACGGGACCUCAGAGUCACUUUGCGUCAUCCAACAACUCGUCGCUGACUUAAUGUUUUUGGGAUUAUUCAAGCAGAGUCAGAGUUAAAUAGUCUGUCCAAGUGUCUGCAUGCUGCACUAAUCGAUAGUCUGCACACAGGAAGCGUGUGCACGAGGACCGCCAUCCACUGGUGCGGGUUUGGUGUCUUCUGUCAGCUAGUAUUCAAUAAUCAGAAGGGAACGCCUCGUUUCUAAAUGGACUUUUAUAGCAGCAGGUUGGAAACGACGGGAUGAAUGUUUGGGAUUAUUUCAGUCAGAAAAAGGUUUUAUUUUUCUAAUGCUUUUGUUUUGGUGGGUAACUCAUUCUGCAGCAUUUCCUCACAAAUAAUAUGACCCAUUGAAUAUUAAAUCAACAUUUAAUGAUCACACACUGGCUCCUUUUGCCUUUUUUCUCCUCCUACAUUUUGCCCGAAAGGGUUUUGAAUGUAAAUAAUGUGUGUGUGUUCCAGGCCGAGGGGGGAGGCUGUAUCUAGUCCAGCAGGUGGCGCUGGUCCCUGAGGUUUACUGCGUGAAGAGGAGCAGCCGUCGGGUGUCUCUGCCUCCGUUCAAGUCAAACAGGAAGUUGUCCUCAGUUCUCCGUCAGACUCUCCUCCACCUCCACCAGGCCCUGCAGGUACUUGAUGUACCUGAUGGCGGCCCUCAGCGUCUCCACCUUGCUGAGGCGCUUGUCGGCGCUCUGACCCGGCAGGUGGUCCCUGAGUUUGGCGUAGCCUUGGUUCACGCACCUCACCCUCUGCCCGCUCGCGCUCGUUGCGCUUUUGGAUGAAGGCCGGCUCGAAGGGACACUCGUACACGCUGAAGUGGCCGCGGUGGUGGAAGGGGGCCAGGUAGGGCAGCAGCCCGGGGCCCCUCAGAGGGUCCAUGCCCGAAGGGUAGAGGAGGAAGGGCACGGAGCGAUCCUCCCGGUGGCCGGAGGGGGGAGACACGCCGAAGCUCAGAUGCUGCUGCAGUGUUUCCUCCGGUCUGAGGCAGCAGGAUGAAACACUGAAGCUUUACCUGGCUUUACUCGCUGAAGCUCCGCCCCCCCCAGGUGUGAGGCAGGACCGAACACGCCACGUGUAUAAAAGGUUGGAUUCUCUGAGUUAAAUGAUCGAUCGCUGAACACCGUGUGACGAUGCAGGAGCAGAACCGACCCGUCCUUGUUGGUUCCCUGUCUGCGUGUUUCUCUUCAGCUUCAGGUGUGAGUCUGAACCUGAAGCCGGAAACACAUUCGCUGCAACAGUCGACCGCGAGACAUCAAAGAGCAUCGCGGGACAGAAAUGAGUGUUUGCAGUUUCCUCUUCCUAAAUCCUGCGUUUCCAGAUGAAAGACAUGAGCGACACACUCCCUUCCUGUCAGCCUCUCAUCACACAACGCACACUGAUGACUGUUUACACACACGCACACGUAACCUGAGAGUUACCGGUUCAUACUCAAAGGUCUUCAUACACAUUUACUGAACUUAUUUAUGUACUUAAUUGUCCAGUGAAUAAACAACAACUGUAGUAAUAUAAUGAUAUACUUUAUGUAUGGAGCAUUUUUCUGGACCAUGUAAGUGAAUGAAUCUUUAUUUAUGAUCACUCCAUUCCUUCAAUCCCCUUUUUUCCUACAAUAUCAUUUCCACGUUGUGCACAUUAUCGUCGAUGUGUGACAAACACCUCGGAAUCCCGAUGUCCGCCGAGGACAGACGCGUCUCCGGGUGGAACGUGAGUGGAGGACAUCGGCGUCGCAGACGGCACCUCAGAGCGUGGACCUUCACCUCAGCGCCGCCCCCCACAGCUGGUUUUGGGGAUCAGACCCCCCAGCAGGGGGGC